GUAUGUAUAGCUCAGUGGUGGAGCACAUGCUUAGCAUGCACGAGGUCCUGGGUUCAAUCCCCAGUACCUCCA
rnacentral:tRNA from 1 species